CCCCUGGUGGUACAAUGGUUAGAACAUUUGGCUGCUAACCAAAAGGUAGGCAGUUCAAAACCACCAGUGGC
rnacentral:tRNA from 1 species